UACGUAGGGGGCUAGCGUUGUCCGGAAUCAUUGGGCGUAAAGAGCGCGUAGGCGGCCAGAUAAGUCCGGUGUGAAAGUCAAAGGCUCAACCUUUGAAUGCCGCUGGAAACUGUCUGGCUAGAGUCCGGGAGGGGCGAGUGGAAUUCCUGGUGUAGCGGUGAAAUGCGCAGAUAUCAGGAUGAACACCAAUGGCGAAGGCAGCUCGCUGGAACGGUACUGACGCUGAGGCGCGAAAGCGUGGGGAGCGAACAGG
rnacentral:rRNA from 1 species